rnacentral:rRNA from 1 species
CCUACGGACACUGCAGUGGGGAAUAUUGGACAAUGGGCGAAAGCCUGAUCCAGCCAUGCCGCGUGUGUGAAGAAGGCCUUCGGGUUGUAAAGCACUUUCAGUGGGGAAGAAAGCCUUGGGGCUAAUACCCUCGAGGAAGGACAUCACCCACAGAAGAAGCACCGGCUAACUCCGUGCCAGCAGCCGCGGUAAUACGGAGGGUGCGAGCGUUAAUCGGAAUUACUGGGCGUAAAGCGCGCGUAGGCGGUCUGAUAAGCCGGUUGUGAAAGCCCCGGGCUCAACCUGGGAACGGCAUCCGGAACUGUCAGGCUAGAGUGCAGGAGAGGAAGGUAGAAUUCCCGGUGUAGCGGUGAAAUGCGUAGAGAUCGGGAGGAAUACCAGUGGCGAAGGCGGCCUUCUGGACUGACACUGACGCUGAGGUGCGAAAGCGUGGGUAGCAAACAGGAUUAGAUACCCUAGUAGUC